UUUCCGUAGGUGAACCUGCGGAAGGAUCAUUUAAGAGCGAGCCUUUAUGGCGAGCAAUUAUAUCCAUAACACUGUGAACUGUUGGCCUUUUGGUCACAUUUUUUACAAACUCUUGUGUAAUGAACGUAUAAAACUAUAAUCAAUAAAACUUUCAACAACGGAUCUCUUGGCUCUC
rnacentral:misc_RNA from 1 species